rnacentral:ncRNA from 1 species
GAAGGAUAAUGGCAAACCAGAUCGAAAGACUGGGACGCAAAGCCACGGGUCUUCUGCUUAAUGCAAUGAUCGCCGGGUUCCCCUC